GUCUGUAGUUUGUAGCGUGGGUCGUCCCUGAUGGCAGAGAGAAUUCUCAGUCCUUUUUCUCCUGUGUCGUUUCCCAUCAGGCCCAGUUGCGUGAUGCUGGAGCGGCUGGACUUCAGGGCUAAGGCCAGGGAGGAGCAGCCCACUGCAGUAAUCCCACAACACCCCAAACUAGAGAGGGAGAAGGGGGCGGUGAUGAGGGCAAAGGGAGACCAGGAGAAGAUGGGAGGACAGGCAUGACGACUGAAAGGAUGGGUGAGGACACAGAAGAUGAGGUACGCAGGUCGCACUUGGGAACCGGCAGUCCAUCGAUAAACAGAAGCAGCCCUGCUUCUCCUGGUUCGUUGCCGCUUAGAUCCAGCUUUGAAAUGGGUCCAGAGGCCAGACCUUCACGGCAUUUAUCAGUCAGGUUGUGGUAUUGCAGCGUGGUCAAAGAACCCAUCCACUGGAAAUCAACUGGUGUGCUUCCAGGGAGCGGUGGUUCUUCGUUGAAGAAUGCAUUUCUCCUGGAAAUGUUCAUUUGCACCUUGGCCACAAUCUGCCCAUGUUGUUCUGUUGCCUGAACGUUAGUAUUGGUUUAUCUUUACACAAUAACACAUGCAUGGUCUAUCA